CAUUUGUUAAAGGACCCGCUAUGGCACAAAACAAAACAAUAAAUGUGCUGCACUGGGCAUUUAUGGAUUACGAAUCGCUUUGGCUGGUGGAGAGAGACAGAACCCUCUAGCUACCACUCUCCCCCUAACCUCACUGCAGAGCUGAGGAAGUGUGUCUGAACGGCCGUGGUAGCCCUCCCUUACAACUGGGAGGAUUUUGCUAUCAAAGCUCUGCAUUGUUCAGGGGAACCUCACGCCUGAGCCAUGUUAAGAUGCCUAAUAUCGCACGCUCUGCGUUCUCCCCUUCCCAAACACUUGCUUUCAGACACAUCACCUUCUCACCCUGCGUAUAACAAAGUAACCCAACCUUAAGGUGACUGCACGGUCACAGACUCAAAGGCUGCCCUGGAAUCCGCAGCGCACCCUGCACUCUGAGCCUUGGAGAGGAAGAACGAUAUAACGUGACAGAAAAGAAGAGGGGAUUUGAGGGAUGAGCUAUCGCCCUGAACGUCUGCCACACUGCAGAUGCUUGUAAGGAGUAACGUUCCAGGUUGCCCUGUCAUCAUGACGAAUUGGAGGAGCAAACCAUCAAGCAGUCUGAUUACAGGGUAGAACUAGUCACCUCAAAGGGUUUGCAACAAAUUAUGUGACUAUACCGCCAUCCUGGGAAAAAGUGCACGUGAAGAAGAGCCUGUCUGUCUGUUGCAGGCUGUGGCCUGAGGGAUCAGCUAAGACCAGAGGGUUUUGAAACAGCUUGGAUUGAUGGCUUCAUCUCAGAAUGGCAGAAGGGCCUCAUGCGUACCCGUGUGAUGGCAUCUCACCUCCACAUGACCAAAGGUUAAUGCAUGGCCAUAUGUCAUGUGUUGCUGUGCUAACUGAUGUUCAGAGGCUUCUGAAUUCACAUAUUCUGCAAUGCUGUGAAACAGAGAAUAUCUUUAUGAUCAACAGGCUUAACAUUUAAGCUACCGCUACAUAUUACUGCAAGUUGUUUAUGGAAUGCAAUUAUUUUUCUGUAAUUUUAUUAUUACAUAUUCAUGUUAAAUGAUACUAGUAGGAGUAGUUCAAAUUCAUUUCCUUAGCAUUGUUUUAUUGUAUGUAACAUGCAUCAC